CCUUGCGUUGCCGUACUGCCGCGUAGGGCCGUAUGUGCUAUGUGAUGCGGCCACGGCGACUGCCUUCACAUGAUGUCGAAAGACCAUGGCUGUGAGAUGUCACAGGGUCCAUCAGCAGUGCAGCCCGACCACUUCUAUGACAAUGACAAGAAGGUGACAGAGCAAAUGAACUGUUCAGUGAUAUGACUCCCGCCACGUCGUGCUGGAGAGGCCUGCUCGGACAUCGGCCGAACAGGCGGAUCGAGUCGGUCCACGCUCAGUGGCGGCGGAGGCGGGCCACUGGCGCUCAGCAGGUGCCGGCG